GCAUAGAUAGCUCUGUUACCGUAGAAUCAGCCGAUCUCGUAGCAUCUUCCGUUGGCAUCAACAACACUACAGUGAGGACGGUUGAUUACCUAUCCAAGUCUCGGUCGAGAAGGAUUUCUGAAUACUUAUUGGUCAAGGUCAUCUCAUCAGUCUUCUGGGCAAAGUGAGGUGUUACAGUUAUUACAUUUGGCACAUUGAAAGCCGAAUUCGAUUUGUGAACUUCGUAAGAAUAGUAGCCUUGUCUUCAAGCUCGAGAAUCUAAGAGGCCGAGACGUGUUCCUUUCUCGACCGCAAUCGCAAGACGCAGAAGUCAGUAGCGUGACCCAACGCAACAUCAACAAAUUUUACUCCUCGGCCGAGCUCGGCCGAUGAGUUGGCACACCCCGCACACAACCGAAUGACGUAGUUAGCUCAUAGAUUACUCGGCCUGCGCACCACGUAGGCUUGGUAGUUUCUAGGGUCAACACAUGUAUACAAGGUCGUUAAACCUAACUUGAAUUCGCAGCCAUGUUCUGUAGUGAAUGAAUUGAUUCUUAGGGGAAUGGCUAGCCUUCUCUUCUUUUGUGAUCGCUUUAGUCUUCUCUGGUUUUCAAUGGGACAAACCAAAACUUCAUGGAACAAAGAUAGAUCACUAAAAAGAGGGACCAAGCAUAUCUAUAUAUGUAUUGCAACUCCUUCCUCCCAUUAAGUGAGCAGUUGCAAUCAAUUAUCAAGAAACCCUAACUGCAUCAUUUUAAUUUCAAACUGGUUCCUUAUAUUUCCCUCCAAAUGGUUGUUAUCCGGUUACAACCCUAAAUAAGUCUUACUUUAUACAUAGCUCAUAUUACUUGUGUUAUUGCAUGACUUAGUGUUUGAUCUUGCCCUUAAAGCAAUCUAUGCAAUCCGAGAAGUCAUUAAGGUUGACAUUUGACAGCAUACCAUCCUUUUUAAGUCUCAACAUUCUGUCCUUGGAGAUAUGUGAUGCGUAAAUUAACUUAACACACAAAUUAAACCAUCUUUUGACAAUUGUAGUAUAUGUAUAAGUAAGGAUCGUUCUAGGCCAGGGAUUAGGAGGGAUUGCUAAUUGAUUCUAAACUGACUUAAAGACACAAAAACAAACUUAAAAACAAUAGGAUAGAUUCAAAAGACUCAAAACUAGUUCACAAGACUCAAAAUAAGAUAAAAACACUCAAAACUACCUAAAAACACCAACUAGGCAGUUUCUGACACUAAACACAAUUUUGGACGAAAAUAAGGUUUGGGCUUGACUCAAAACACUUAGAACACAAACAAAACAAGUUUAAAACAAAUUGUAACUUAAAAAUAGGUUUGAAAACAAAUUUAGGAAAUUAGAUGGAUGAUGGGAUAGCUAGAGGCUUUUUCUCCACACAUGACAUGUAUGCAAACAACUCAAUUUCCAGUUACUACUUCAUUGAAUUAUGAAAGACAAUGCCCCAAAUUAACUGUGACAUCACUAGUUAACCCUCAGAUUUUCCUUGUUUUAUUGGAUUGGAUAACUUUAUUCGACAACCUAAAACAUUCUUCAAAAGUUCCCUACAUGACAUCAUAAUAGAGAUACAAUCAAAGAUCAUUACGUUUAAUGAAAAUCAUAAGCAUUGACAAAUCACUUGCAACUAUGACAUCAUGUCACUCAUGCUAGGAAUUAAACUUAACGUGAUUGUUUAUAAGCGACCUCCACUACUUGUAAAUAUAAGUUUGUAACGAUUCUGUGAAACUUUCUUAUAUUCUAGCAACAGAUUUAUGCAUGCCAAUUAAGUGUAGACCCUUAAUCAACAAAUACAAAUAAGUUAUCAAUCAAAUAGUUAAGCCAAUUGCAUUCAUGAUUCAAGAACUCAUAACUGGAAUUUAUCAAAUCAUAUUGCACACAUAAUCAUGGCUUUGAAAUCACCCCUAGCCAAGAGGGGUUUAGCCACUCAUGUUCAUAACAAAAUGAAAGAAAAUGAAUUUAAUCAUUGUAAGUAUAGAACGAAUUACACCUCGAAUGCUUUAACAAUCAAGCUUGAACAUCCAAGAGUUCUUCCUUCUUUCUUCACUCACGGCACAAGGUUUGGUGUAAGGUUUGGGUGGUGAGUUGUAUGGAAGAAUGGUUGAAUGUGUUUGUGAUGUAGUGUAAUGUUGAAAUGGUGGUGAAUGAUCUAACCAAAUAUGCUCUAUGGCUGUUACACACACUUCCUUUUAUAAAGGAAGUGCAUGGCAUUUGUAGGAGAAAAUGGAGUGGUGUGCAGCAAUGAUUCAAUGAAGUGGUGCUGAAAAGAUUCCAGGGUGAAAAUGGAGUUGUGAUGCACGACAUGGGGGAUGAAAGGUGAGGGAUGGUGCAGCAAUGAGUGCAAGGAUGGAAGGUUAAAGUGAUGAAAUGAUGCAUGAAAUCUGGUACAAUGGAGGGAACAAGGAAUGGUGCAGCAAUGGGUGCAUGGAGUGGAGGUUAAAGUGAUGAAAUGGUGCAUGAAAUCUAAAAUGAUAGAGGGGACAAUGAAUGUGCACGGCAUGGGUGGAAAGGAAAAGGAAUGGUGCAUCAAUAAGUGCAAGGAGUGGACAAGAAUAUUGUACACAUGGUAAACAAAGGAAAGGAAGUGGAAUGUUGCCACAACAAUUGAACAUGGAUGGAGUGCACGGCAUGGGUGGAUUUCUACACUCUUUGCCUUGUGUUCCAGCUCACUUCCACAUGUCCUAGUUGUUAGACAACUUUCACACACAUAUUUUGCAUCAUUUCAUCUUGCAUACACCAACUUUUGGUCACUUUACACCUCUUCACACAUGCACCUGCUGCUAGAUACUUUCACACACAUGCUAUGCAUCAUUUCAGCUUGCAAUUAUGUUUGUAGUUACUGGAAAUGUGAAUACAACUUGUAAGGCAAUCCAACAAAUGGCAUCUUUCACUUCUUUUCCUUUCAAAUUAUUCCUUAAAUGUAUGUAUCUGCACACUUCCACACUUCAACUUCAUUAUUCAAAUUUUUGCAUAUGUUGAAACCGUUUUUAAAACACGAAAAAUGUCCAUCCAACUUGCUCCAUAUGCAUGCAAUCCAUUUCAGCCCAAAAUUGCUCCAAAAUGCACCAAAAUACACUGUCUUGCCAACUUUGUUAUUAGGACCUACAAACACACGACAAUAGCUCAAAAUACAAAAUUGACUAAGAAAUAACAACAUAAAUGCACAAGAACAAGCUAACUAAGUCGCAUAAAUAUGCUUUUAUCAAUAUGCCCCAAUCUUCGAUGCCAAAGCAUGGAAGAUGUAUCAUUAGUGAGCAUUCUCUUUGGUGAAAAAUGCACUAUAUUGCAACAAUCAUGAUAAUAUGAACAUUGAAUUUGCCAAAGGUCACCAUUUGGGAAAGCAUAGCCAAUAGCACUGUCAAAAUGGUGCUUAAGAUAAAACUUUAUUUGAUUGUCAUCUCCAAUAUAAGAGAAACCAUUUUUAACAAGUUGAGUUACAGAAAAAAAAUUCCUUCUUAGUGAAGGUACAUAAAGUACAUUGUUCAAUGUUAAAAUAUAACCAAAUGACAAUUUCAACAUGACAGUACCAACUGCUUCAACCAAGACUUUAUUUCCAUUCCCAUCAUAAACAUUAUAGGACUCUCUACUUGUCUCCUUCUGGCUUUGAAAUCCCUGCAAAGAAUUUGUUAUAUGGAUGAAACAUCCAAUGUCAAACCACCAAGAAUUUUAAGGUACAAAAACCAUGUUUGAUUCCACAGUAACAAAAACAUCAAAAACAUCAAAAACAUUUUUAGCUUUCCUGAUUAACCAUGCCUUAAAGACUAGGCAAUUCUUCCUUAAGUGUUUAGUAGAUUGACAAUGAUAACACUUUUUGAAAUGAGGGUUAUGAACCUAUAAACCAUGUGAGAUAGAGGCCCCAGUACUUUUGAGAGAUACACCAGAACCUUUGUUUUGUUUCUUGGGACCGAUUGCAGCAUUUGGAGUAGUUCGAGAUCCAGAAGGUUUGCAUCCCUUAUAAUUUUCAUUUUUAUGUCCCAAACCAUUUUCCCCUUGCCUUUGCCAGUAUUGACAAGAUUAGCCAAUUCCAUUAUCUCAGCUUUGGACUUCUUCAACCUCUCUUCCUCUUGACAACAAAUGGCAAUGAGUUCAUUAAUACUCUAUGUCUCUUUCUGAGUGUUGUAGUUAACCUUUAUCUGAUCAUUCUCUCCUGAUAAAGAGUACAAGGCUAUAUGCACCAAAAAUUGAUCAGUGAUACCAAUUUCCAUUGCAUUCAGUUUGUUAGAAAUAUUCACCAUCUUCAACAAAUGGUCACAAACACUACUUAACCCAUCAUGUUUGCUGUUGAUGAGUGCAAAAAGUGAUGCACCCACUUCUGUCUUGUCAGAUCUCUUAAAAUUUUCCUCAAUCCUAGCCAUGUAGUCCUUGGCUAAGUCAUAGCUGGAUAUACCACCUCUAAUGUGUUCUUCCAUCGCAUUCUACAUAAUGAGAAAAUAAAUCUGAUUGGCUCUUUCUCAUUUAGCAAAAUGUUCCCUUUCUUGAGUAGUGCUCCCAUCAACUAAGGCCGAUGGCUGAGGAGUCUUGAAAGCAAUGUUGAACUCGAGCAUUCCCAAGUUCAUUUCAAUAUGUUGCUUCCAAGUGUUGAAAUUGUUACCAUUCAACUUCUCAAUGUUAACAAGGUUAAACAUAUUAAACCCUGCAUCAUAAGACAUUUAGAUUGAAAAUUCAUAAGUAUUAUGAUCAAGAACUAGUCUUAAUUGUCUUGUCACACUUAAACUAUGAAACCAAUUACACAUUUGGGCAAGAAACUGUCCAUAAAGGAUAUGAAUUUCCACUUCAUUGCAUAGCUAAGAAUAAAGAGCAUAAUCUUAUGUAAUACUACACCUUUAGGCAAGAAAUAUCACAUAAGCACUUAAUUUCAUCACUCACUAUACAUCAAUUCAUAACAACCUGAUGUGAAAAUUAACUUGACACACAAAUUAAACCCUAUUGUUGACAAUUGUAGUAAAGAUGUAAGUAGGGAUCGUUCUAGACCGGGGAUUAACUAGGGAUGCUAAUAAACAUAAAUAAGACUUAAAAACACUAAAUUAGACUCUAUAGACUAAAAACUGACUCAAAACACUCAAAACAGCAACAAACAAUAAAAAAAGACUCAAUUCUAGACCUAACAAGUGAUUUGAUGAAAAUAAACUUAACUUGACUCAAAAGAUUAAAAGAAAACAGAUUAUGACUCAACUAACAAGACUUAAUGAAUGGGGGAUUGUUUUUUACGAGUUUAAAACUUAAAACAUAAACUUUGCAUAAAACACUUUAUGAAAACGAAUUUGAUGAAUUGAAAAGGGUGAAAGGCUAGUUAGAGGGUCCUUCUCCACACAUGACAUAUGCAUACAAAUCAGUUUCCAGUUAUUAUUCCUUUAGACUAUGAAUGACAGCACCCCAAGUUAACCAUGAUAGCACAAAUUAACCAUUAGAUUUUCCUUAAUUCAUUAAAUUGGAUGGAAUACGCAUCACAACCAAAUUAUCCUUAUCAAGUUCCCUAACUAUGAAAAACACAAUAGAAAGACAUAUCAAAGGUCAUUAAGUUCUUUGAAAAUCAUAAGCAUUGACGAAGCAUUCGUAACUAUAAAUAGCAUGAUACUCUUGCCAAGGAUUUACUUAACACAAUCAUGACUAGUAACUUCCACUACUUGUGAAUAUAAGUUCAUAACGAUUAGGUGAAACUCCCUUAUCUCUAGCAUCAAAUUCAUGCAUGCAAAUUAAGUGUCAAUCCUCAAUCAACAUACAUAAACAAGUUUUGAUAACUCAGAUAAGCAAAUCACAUUCAAGACUCAAGAAACAACAAAUGGAUGUAAUCAGUUCAUAUAAAACAUAUAAUUAUGGCUUCGAAUUCACCUCCAACUAUAAAGAAAUUAGUUCCUCAUGUCUUUGAAAACAUAAAACCAAAUUAAAACCAGCUUUGAAACAAAUCUAAGGAUAGAAAGAACCAGGAACGUCCCAACAACUCCAAUGGCAGAUUUCGAACCUUCCUUGGAUUGCAAGCCACGGCACAAAACUCCUUCUUCUCCUACCUUCCUUGUUGCAGCACUUGAUGAAUUCAUGUGUAAUCUGUGUGAAUUGUGGUGUAGAAAUAUAUGGGGGGUGGUGGUUCUAAAUAAAUGCUGCAACACUUGUAUUUAUAGGGAGAAAAGGCACGGCCUAGGUAGCUUUGGAGAAGGAUUGGCACUCCAAAUCCCCAAGGAAAAAGGUUAACUAAAUGCCAAAAACCAGGAAGAAUUAGGAAUAAGUUUAGUGGUAGGAAACAUGGCUUUUAGAAAGGCUAGGUGCGUCUUAUUUGUAAGGUUCUAGAAGAAGGGGUGUGGCACCCUUGUAGGAUUAUGUUAAGGCUUCUAGAAAUCUACAUUUAUGUGUCCUAAAUUGAAAAUAAUUCCCCCUUGCAGCUGGAAAUAAGGUUGAUUAGGAUAAGGUCAAGAUAAGAUAAGAUAAUGUUAGUUUAGAUACGAUAAGAUUGGAUAAGGUUUUGGAUAAUGUUUCCUUUUUUGAGCUAAUUCCUUAUCUUCUUUGUCUUGGAUUUAUUUUCUUCAUCUCCUUAGCAUAUUCCAAGCCUUUUGAACUUCAAAAAUGUCCAUCCACCUUGCUCCAUACAUGUGCUAUCCAUUCUUGGCUCAAACUGCUCCAAAAUGCUCCAAAGCGCACUUUCUUGCCAACUUUGUCAUUUGGACCUACAAACACACAAAAAUAGCUUAAAUCACUAAUAAGUAAAAACUAACAACAUAAAUGCAAGAAAACAAGCUAACUAAGUCGCAUAAAUAUGCUCCUAUCACAAUCCCAGUUAAUAAAUUUCUUUGGAAAUUUCUUAACUUGUUAAUAUUAUGAAUUGCUAUUUUAAGUACCUUUUAUGAAUGCAUGUAACCUUUAUACUUGUUCGAACACUUUUGUGUAAGAAUUAAGUGUAUUACAUGAUAUCAGUACUCAAAAUUCAACACAUACAUUUGUGAUAUUGGUAUAUUAUUCUCUGCAAUGCACGUUAGUGCAUAUUUGAAUACCAACGGAAAGUUCAUCAUUAUCAUACAUUUAUAUAAACAUAUAUAUAUAUAUAUAUAUAACAUAUUUAGAUUUGAAUGGAUUAGGCUCUUAUACCACAUGUUGGUCCUUUUAAAGAUCGAAACCAUCAAACCCUUUCUUGUUUAUAUUCAGUGAAUUUCUGCUAUGCAUGGGCAUUAAAUGAACAUGCAUUAACCCUAAUCUCAUGUAUACAAGGUCGUCAAACCUAACCUGAAUUCGUAGUCAUGUUCGGUAGUGAAUGAAUUGAUUCUUAGGGGAAUGGUUAGCCUUCUCUUCCCUUGUGAUCGCUUUAGUGUUCUCUGGUUUUCAAUGGGACAAACCAAAAGUGCAUGGAACAAAGAUAGAUCAUCGAAAAGAGGGACCAAGCAUGUCUAUAUAUGUAUUGCAGCUGCUUCCUCCCAUUAAGUGAGCAGUUGCAAUCAGUUAUCAAGGAAACCCUAACUGCAUCAUUUUAAUUUCAAAUUGGUUCCUUAUAUUUCCCUUCAAAUGGUUGCUAUCCGGUUACAACCCUAAAUAAGUCUUACUUUAUACAUAGCUCAUAUUACUUGUGUUAUUGCAUGACUUGGUGUUUGAUCUUGCUCACCAAGUAAACCUUACAUUAAUAACCAAGUUUUAUACCGAUCUUUGAAUAUGAAAUUAAAAUGAAUAAAAUAGCCAUGAAAAAUACUGAAAACACAUAUUAUAGUACCAAAUUUCAUAAUAAGAUAUAUAUAAUAUAUUUGUCCACUCAAUGAACUUAUUCAAAAUUAGUUGAAAUUGUAAAGUUGUGAAUGACAAGGAAUGAUGUAUUGGAUUACUUAUGUUGUAGGCCACUUGUCUAUCGAGUUGUUAACAACUUAAGUAAUCUGAUAGUCUUAAUGAAAUAAGGAUUAUGGAGUCUUAUCCUUUGCAAUUGACCUUAAAGAAAUCUGAUAGGUUUCACUACAAAGAUAUAGAAUCAUGGUGGGACUUAAACACUUAAGUUAUAUGGUUUGGUUUUCACAACCAAUAAUAGGCCGGCUGUGAUGAAAACCUUAAUGGUAUAAAUAUUUUGGUUAUGUCCCUGCUUCCAUAUGCUCAAUCUCUCAAAAUACGUUAAACCCUAAUCACAGCAGAGAGAUAUUUUGAAGUACUAGAAGUAGAAGACGACCUAGUUCUGCAAUGGCUUCUUAUUAUUUAAGUAGGUUUCACGUAAAACUUAUAUUGCAUACAUGCAUUUUGUACUUCUUUGCUGCAUAAAAACAUGGUCUGCGUAAUCCUAUUUCCUUAUUGUUUUGUCAUUGUAUGCAUUGUGGAUGCAAAUUUCCGCCUUCUUCUUCUUCUUGGACAAAAUUGCACCUACAAAACAAUUAACACCUUAGGUCAAGGCCAAGAGCCUUAUGCGCCCGCGAUGAAUUGAAGGAGGGCUUUGGCCGAAGAACCUCUGAUGCCAAAGUUAGAAUUUAGAGAGAAAAGUAUUUGGAGAGUUUUGGGAGUUCUGCAAGAGUAUCAACUUAGCUUUUUAGAAGAAAUAGGGUCAUAUAUAGUGAAUGGGGUGUGGCCGGCCUUUAAGUGUGUUUUGGGGUGUUAUUUGAUGAUUCAAUUAGCAAUUAAUAUAUUAAUUAGGUAUAAAUAUAUUAAUUGGCUAAUUAUCAUAAUAAAGGAAAUGUUUUGGGAGGUUUUUGGAGGUUAUGGAAUGAGGAUGGAUGAGACAAAUUUGAACUUGUUACCUAUUUUAGGUACUCCUGAUUUGGUUGAUGGAUGAUUCUCCACUGCUCGCGUGUAGGAGACCCGGUAUGCCUCGAGGGUAAAUUUGUCAUCUUCACCCAAAAAUCUAUGUGUCGCUUUGUGAUUAUUUUUUGCUCCACAAAUGCCCCCACACCUGCUGGGCUGCUCGUAGGAAAGUGCAGCAGGUGUAGAGAUCUUCUUGCUUUAGGAAACUUAGGACUGCUUCCUAUUUUGAUGUAAAUUCCCUCUUUAAUAUGAAAUUAUAUCAUUCUAGGAAAGAGAAAUAAAUUUCUCUCAAAGCCUAUUUAAGUCCACCUUAAGUGGGUUAUUAAAUCAACUUUGGAGAAUGAUUUAUUCUACCCUACAAGAGAGAGAGAGAGCUUAGAGGAUAUUUGUUCCCCCUCCUUUAGCAAUCUUCUACAUCUUGCAUGUGCAAAGGACUAUCUUUCGUUGCUUUCUUCGUCUUCUCCGUGCUGCAUCGAUGUAAGGAAAACUUAAUUCUCCUUGUCUUCUUCUUGGGAGGUGUUGCCACAGGGCAGCCGUCGGGGUGGUGCGGCACGUCGGCUAGUAGGGGCCAAGAGUCGGCUUGUCAUAGGCCAAGGAAGUGGCGUGGCAUGGGCAACGAUUUAGGCU
rnacentral:lncRNA from 1 species